rnacentral:rRNA from 1 species
AAUAGAUACCCGGGUAGUCCACCCCGUAAACGUUGGGAACUAGUUGUGGGGUCCUUUCCACGGAUUCCGUGACGCAGCUAACGCAUUAAGUUCCCCGCCUGGGGAGUACGGCCGCAAGGCUAAAACUCAAAGGAAUUGACGGGGACCCGCACAAGCGGCGGAGCAUGCGGAUUAAUUCGAUGCAACGCGAAGAACCUUACCAAGGCUUGACAUACACCGGAAACGGCCAGAGAUGGUCGCCCCGCAAGGUCGGUGUACAGGUGGUGCAUGGUUGUCGUCAGCUCGUGUCGUGAGAUGUUGGGUUAAGUCCCGCAACGAGCGCAACCCUCGUUCUAUGUUGCCAGCACGUAAUGGUGGGAACUCAUGGGAUACUGCCGGGGUCAACUCGGAGGAAGGUGGGGAUGACGUCAAAUCAUCAUGCCCCUUAUGUCUUGGGCUUCACGCAUGCUACAAUGGCCGGUACAAAGGGCUGCAAUACCGUGAGGUGGAGCGAAUCCCAAAAAGCCGGUCCCAGUUCGGAUUGAGGUCUGCAACUCGACCUCAUG